UUUCCGUAGGUGAACCUGCGGAAGGAUCAUUAUUGGAUUUUGAAACUUCAGGCUGCUGCUGGCUCUCCUCGGAGGGCAUGUGCACGCUUGUUGUCCAUUAUUUCUCCCACUGUGCACAAAUUGUAGACCUUUCAGUAGGCCUAUGUUGUUUUUCACAAUCUCUGAAUGUAAUAGAAUGGUUUUGAAUCUUGGGAAAUACAAUACAACUUUCAGCAACGGAUCUCUUGGCUCUCGUAUCGAUGAAGAACGCAGC
rnacentral:misc_RNA from 1 species